AUACUACUCCCUUCGUUCCGAAUUACUUGUUUUGGAUUUGUCUAGAUACGGAGGUAUCUAGCACUAAAAUAAGUCUAGAUACAUCUGUAUCUAGACAAAUUCAAGACAAGCAAUUCGGAAUGGAGGGAGUAGGUC
rfam:Triticum aestivum genome assembly, contig: Triticum_aestivum_CS42_TGACv1_scaffold_471133_6AL